ensembl:misc_RNA Y_RNA Y RNA
GGUUAGUCUGAGUGCAGAGGUGUUUACAACUAACUGAUCACAACUAGUUACAUAUCUUUUUGUUUCCUCUCUACUCCCACUGUCUGACUUGGCUAGCCCUUA